rnacentral:rRNA from 1 species
GGCGUUUGGGAGAAGCCUCUCCCUCCGGUUUUGCGGGAGCCCAAGUCCCCCUGACCGGGGCCAUCGCCCGUAGAGGGUGCAAGGCCCGUGUGGCUUUUUGCGACCGGAGAACGGCUCUCUCUCCCAGGAGUCGGGUUGCUUGGGAGUGCAGCCCUAAGCUGGUGGUAAACUCCAUCUAAGGCUAAAUACUUUUACGAGACCGAUAGCAAACAAGUACCGUGAGGGAAAGUUGCAAAGAACUUUGAAGAGAGAGUUCAAGAGUACGUGAAACCGCUCGGAGGUAAACGGGUGGGCCCACGAAUGCAUACAGAAGGGGAUUCAACUCGUUGACUGUAUGGCCGUGCCUCGCAGGUUCUUCUUUUUUGAACGGAUCCUUGAGACCGAUCUGCGAAGCAGUGGUCGUCAGCGGGCGCACUUGCCCUUCUCGCAUCUCUUUUUUUUUUUUCUUUUCCCCUUAAAAGGAGAUUUAAAAAGAAGGGAGAGCGAACGCCGCGACCGGUUGGGAGAAACGACGGCGGCCAAUCGGUGAGGCCGGGCAGGUAUCCUUCUUUUGUGAGCCGCCUUUCCUUUACCCUUCUCUCGGGGAGGUGUUUCUGGGGGGUAUUUGGCUCUGGUUGGAGACUAGCCCGUCCGUUAAACCACCCGGCUCCGCCGCCCGACCGAGGUUUAGAACCGAGGUUCGAAAACCGCGCCUGCGACCUAAACACAUUUUUCUUUUUAUUUUUUUAAAAAGAAGAAGAAAAACACGCUCGAGCCCCGUUCUUGGCAUGUGAAAUCCAGUCCCCGAAGACGCUUAGUUCGUUUUCGGAAGCCGCCUUUUCCGCGCGGCGUGCGACUUGGCCAAAGUCACAGUGCCGGACGUCAGGAUAGCUCUCGUACUUUGUGGCGCUGGUGGUCAGCGGCGAGUAGGUCGUUAACCCCCCCGCCCCUCUUUGAACACGGGCCCAAGAGUUUUACCCAUGCGCACAUUGUUGGGGGGGUUAACGGAAACCGGAGGGCUUAWRGGGGGGGRGGKUGGSCAAUUUUUUCCUUGGCCCGGGGGGGGRCCCUUUUUKUUUUWAAAAAUUUUWUUKRWAUAAAAAAAAAARUAAAACCCCUCCCUUUUYCCAAAUUUUUUUUUUUUUUCCUCUCUCGCAAGGGAGAGGGAAAGAGGAGGUUGGGAAAGGAGGGGAAAGAACGGCGCACCGCCGGCCCGUCUCGACCGCAACGCCGGUGAGGCGGCGCAGUAGCGCACACGUUGGGACCCGAAAGAUGGUGAACUAUGCCUAGGCAGGACGAAGCCAGAGGAAACUCUGGUGGAGGUCCGUAGCGUUUCUGACGUGCAAAUCGAUCGUCGGACCUGGGUAUAGGGGCGAAAGACUAAUCGAACCAUCUAGUAGCUGGUUCCCUCCGAAGUUUCCCUCAGGAUAGCUGGCGCUCAAGAGAUAACAGUCUCAUCCGGUAAAGCGAAUGAUUAGAGGCCUUGGGGCCGAAACGACCUCAACCUAUUCUCAAACUUUCAAUGGGUAAGAAGUCCGGCUUGCUCGACUGAAGCCCGGACCCACGGAUGCGAGUGCCCAGUGGGCCACUUUUGGUAAGCAGAACUGGCGCUGUGGGAUGAACCAAACGCCGGGUUACGGCGCCCAAUGCGACGCUCAUGAGACACCAUGAAAGGUGUUGGUUGCUAUAGACAGCAGGACGGUGGCCAUGGAAGUCGGAAUCCGCUAAGGAGUGUGUAACAACUCACCUGCCGAAGCAACUAGCCCUGAAAAUGGAUGGCGCUCAAGCGUGGAGCCUAUACCCGGCCGUCGGGGCAGAGACCGUAGGGCCUUAGAAAAAAAGAAAAAUAGUUUUAUUUUUUUUUUUUUUUUUAGGUCGCGGGGCUGCCGAUGCUCCGACGAGUAGGAGGGUCGCGACGGUGAGCGUURAAGGGUCGGGCGWAASCCCSCCUGGASCCSCCGUCGGUGCARAUYUUGGUGGUAGUASCAAAUACUCGAGUGARAACCUUGAGRACUGAUGUGGAGAAGGGUUCCAUGUGAACAGCAKUUGAACAUGGGUCWGUCGGCCCUAAGGAAUAGGGGAAACCCGUUCCGAACGGGGGGGAAAAUAAGAUUUUCAAUUCCCCCCGCCGAGACCGAAAGGGAAUCGGGUUAAUAUUCCCGAACCCGGACACGGAGAUUGGGCCCUCGUGGUCCAGUGCGGUGACGCAAACGAACUCGAAGACGUCGGCGGGAGUCCCAGGAAGAGUUGUCUUUUCUUUGUAAGGGACGGAAUCCCUGGAAUCGGCUCGCCCGGAGAUAGGGAUGUUGUUCCCGUAAAGCACCGCGCCUCCUGCGGUGUCUGGAGCGCUCCCGCCGGCCCUUGAAAAUUCGAGGGAGAAGGUGUGAUUUUCGUGCCGGGCCGUACCCAUAUCCGCAGCAGGUCU